rnacentral:rRNA from 1 species
CUCAGGACGAACGCUGGCGGCGUGCUUAACACAUGCAAGUCGAACGAUGAAGCCUAGCAAUCUUUGGUUGUUGGGUGGAUUAGUGGCGAACGGGUGAGUAAUACGUGGGUAACCUGCCCUCCUUUUUGGGAUAAGCCUUGGAAACGGGGUCUAAUACCGAAUAUUCUGGCGCUCUCGCAUGGGGGUGUUGGGAAAGCUUUUGUGUGAAGGGGGAUGGGCUCGCGGCCUAUCAGCUUGUUGGUGGGGUGAUGGCCUACCAAGGCGGUGACGGGUAGCCGGCCUGAGAGGGUGACCGGCCAAUUGGGACUGAGAUACGGCCCAGACUCCUACGGGAGGCAGCAGUGGGGGAUAUUGCACAAUGGGCGAAAGCCUGAUGCAGCGACGCCGCGUGGGGGAUGAAGGCUUUCGGGUUGUAAACCUCUUUCGCUAUCGAACAAGGCUCGCUUAGGGUGGG